rnacentral:misc_RNA from 1 species
UCCAGUUCCUCACUGGCGGUCCCCUUAGAGUCCCCAACUAAAUGCUGGCAACUAAGGGCAAGGGUUGCGCUCGUUACGGGACUUAACCCAACAUCUCACAACACGAGCUGACGACAGCCAUGCAGCACCUGUCUCUGUGCUUCUUUCGACACCCCAGCUACUAAGCCAGGUUCACAGGAUGUCAAGGGUAGGUAAGGUUCUUCGCGUUGCAUCGAAUUAAACCACAUGCUCCACCGCUUGUGCGGGCCCCCGUCAAUUCAUUUGAGUUUCAACCUUGCGGCCGUACUUCCCAGGCGGAGAACUUAUCGCGUUAGCUUCGAUACUGAUAGGUUCCCCUAUCAACAUCUAGUUCUCAUCGUUUACAGCGUGGACUAC